ACUAUCAUACUUUGUCAUGUUUAUAGAGUAUCAAAUUACUUACGUCCCUUUGAUAUUUGCUAAUUUUCAUACCAAAUUUGCUUUCUCAUAAAUAAUUUUUUCUUUAAAUUAUCCCAAAACACCUUCCGGCUCUUACAUUUUGAGGUGGAAGGAGCUUGAGAUUGGGAAGUUGGGCAUGGAAUAUGGUCUUUUGCGGCUUCCUUCUUUGCCUGAUGUGAAGCAUCAUUCUCUUUCUACAAAGGGAUUUGCUGCUGUUGAAGAAAUCAACCUAGACGAGAUCAAGUUUAAUUAAGUUUAUUCAUUAUUCAGCCUGCAAACAAUCAUGUUAGAAUCAUACAGAUUAGGGAGUUUCAGUAUGUCUUGUCAGUAUCAUUAUAUUUUUAUCGGAGCAGUUUCAAUGUGUGACUAAAGUACUGCUCACUAAAUGUUUUGAUCUGUUGUGAAGUCUUGAUCUUGGAUAUUUAGCCGUUAUCUUUUCCACUCAGGGACAUGUCCCGGGAGAAGCAAAGAAAGAAGAAUUUGCAAGCGAAAAAGGCUGCAAUGGCACAACAAGAAGAACAGAAGACACCGAGACUUAAAAAAGAAGCAAAUUCUACAGCAACUGCCACGAGAAAGAAAACUGCCAAUCAGAGACGUGCUACCCAGUUAGUUGAACAUGAAGAUGAGAUUACAAGGGAGUACCGCCUAUUGAAGAAGCUAAAAAGGGAGCUCUCGAUGAGAACGAAUUUGCAAAAUUGACUGGCACCGAAGACUUGCUUUCUGACACAUGAUUACAUCGAGGCACAAAUUCUGUUGGUCAAAUACAUUCAUACGGGGUGGUUGCAGUUGCAGAUGUUAUACCAGUUACCUAGCAAGAAAGAUAAGUAUCGCCCAGAAACUGAAGUUGAUCAAGCAAUAAUUUUGGAUAACGAGCACAAUCAUUCAUCAGUUGCCUAUGUCCCACCUUACAUUGGAUUGCAGAUCCAUGGAUGAGCGACCAAAUUUUGUGCUAUCUGAUCUUUUCUUUUGAAUUUAUUUAUCUUUCUCACCACCUCUUUUUAUGAUUCUAACCACCAGUGGCUGGGUCUCUUGUUCUGAUGUGUAAUUCUACUUCAUAUAUCAUGAUAAAUAUGAGAUUUAUAAUAUUCUUUUUCGUUUUUCUGCUAAGUAGUACUUAGUAUUUAUUAAUUUGAUUAUUAUUGUGAUUUUUCAUUGAAAAGUUUAUUUUUUCUCAUAUUUGAUUAAUCUUGCAUUACAUUCACAAUUAAAGCUUGUGUACAGUUUCCUUCAACCCCAGAGACAAGUUUGAAGAAUGUACAGAAACUUGACAUACUUAAAUACUUAUCCAAAA